GGUUAAGCGACUAAGCGUACACGGUGGAUGCCCUGGCAGUCAGAGGCGAUGAAGGACGUGCUAAUCUGCGAUAAGCGUCGGUAAGGUGAUAUGAACCGUUAUAACCGGCGAUUUCCGAAUGGGGAAACCCAGUGUGUUUCGACACACUAUCAUUAACUGAAUCCAUAGGUUAAUGAGGCGAACCGGGGGAACUGAAACAUCUAAGUACCCCGAGGAAAAGAAAUCAACCGAGAUUCUCCCAGUAGCGGCGAGCGAACGGGGAGCAGCCCAGAGCCUGAAUCAGUGUGUGUGUUAGUGGAAGCGUCUGGAAAGGCGCGCGAUACAGGGUGACAGCCCCGUACACAAAAAUGCACAUGCUGUGAGCUCGAUGAGUAGGGCGGGACACGUGGUAUCCUGUCUGAAUAUGGGGGGACCAUCCUCCAAGGCUAAAUACUCCUGACUGACCGAUAGUGAACCAGUACCGUGAGGGAAAGGCGAAAAGAACCCCGGCGAGGGGAGUGAAAAAGAACCUGAAACCGUGUACGUACAAGCAGUGGGAGCACGCUUAGGCGUGUGACUGCGUACCUUUUGUAUAAUGGGUCAGCGACUUAUAUUCUGUAGCAAGGUUAACCGAAUAGGGGAGCCGAAGGGAAACCGAGUCUUAACUGGGCGUUAAGUUGCAGGGUAUAGACCCGAAACCCGGUGAUCUAGCCAUGGGCAGGUUGAAGGUUGGGUAACACUAACUGGAGGACCGAACCGACUAAUGUUGAAAAAUUAGCGGAUGACUUGUGGCUGGGGGUGAAAGGCCAAUCAAACCGGGAGAUAGCUGGUUCUCCCCGAAAGCUAUUUAGGUAGCGCCUCGUGAAUUCAUCUCCGGGGGUAGAGCACUGUUUCGGCAAGGGGGUCAUCCCGACUUACCAACCCGAUGCAAACUGCGAAUACCGGAGAAUGUUAUCACGGGAGACACACGGCGGGUGCUAACGUCCGUCGUGAAGAGGGAAACAACCCAGACCGCCAGCUAAGGUCCCAAAGUCAUGGUUAAGUGGGAAACGAUGUGGGAAGGCCCAGACAGCCAGGAUGUUGGCUUAGAAGCAGCCAUCAUUUAAAGAAAGCGUAAUAGCUCACUGGUCGAGUCGGCCUGCGCGGAAGAUGUAACGGGGCUAAACCAUGCANNNNNNNNNNNNNNNNNNNNNNNNNNNNNNNNNGGUAGGGGAGCGUUCUGUAAGCCUGUGAAGGUGUGCUGUGAGGCAUGCUGGAGGUAUCAGAAGUGCGAAUGCUGACAUAAGUAACGAUAAAGCGGGUGAAAAGCCCGCUCGCCGGAAGACCAAGGGUUCCUGUCCAACGUUAAUCGGGGCAGGGUGAGUCGACCCCUAAGGCGAGGCCGAAAGGCGUAGUCGAUGGGAAACAGGUUAAUAUUCCUGUACUUGGUGUUACUGCGAAGGGGGGACGGAGAAGGCUAUGUUGGCCGGGCGACGGUUGUCCCGGUUUAAGCGUGUAGGCUGGUUUUCCAGGCAAAUCCGGAAAAUCAAGGCUGAGGCGUGAUGACGAGGCACUACGGUGCUGAAGCAACAAAUGCCCUGCUUCCAGGAAAAGCCUCUAAGCAUCAGGUAACAUCAAAUCGUACCCCAAACCGACACAGGUGGUCAGGUAGAGAAUACCAAGGCGCUUGAGAGAACUCGGGUGAAGGAACUAGGCAAAAUGGUGCCGUAACUUCGGGAGAAGGCACGCUGAUAUGUAGGUGAAGUCCCUCGCGGAUGGAGCUGAAAUCAGUCGAAGAUACCAGCUGGCUGCAACUGUUUAUUAAAAACACAGCACUGUGCAAACACGAAAGUGGACGUAUACGGUGUGACGCCUGCCCGGUGCCGGAAGGUUAAUUGAUGGGGUUAGCGGUAACGCGAAGCUCUUGAUCGAAGCCCCGGUAAACGGCGGCCGUAACUAUAACGGUCCUAAGGUAGCGAAAUUCCUUGUCGGGUAAGUUCCGACCUGCACGAAUGGCGUAAUGAUGGCCAGGCUGUCUCCACCCGAGACUCAGUGAAAUUGAACUCGCUGUGAAGAUGCAGUGUACCCGCGGCAAGACGGAAAGACCCCGUGAACCUUUACUAUAGCUUGACACUGAACAUUGAGCCUUGAUGUGUAGGAUAGGUGGGAGGCUUUGAAGUGUGGACGCCAGUCUGCAUGGAGCCGACCUUGAAAUACCACCCUUUAAUGUUUGAUGUUCUAACGUUGACCCGUAAUCCGGGUUGCGGACAGUGUCUGGUGGGUAGUUUGACUGGGGCGGUCUCCUCCUAAAGAGUAACGGAGGAGCACGAAGGUUGGCUAAUCCUGGUCGGACAUCAGGAGGUUAGUGCAAUGGCAUAAGCCAGCUUGACUGCGAGCGUGACGGCGCGAGCAGGUGCGAAAGCAGGUCAUAGUGAUCCGGUGGUUCUGAAUGGAAGGGCCAUCGCUCAACGGAUAAAAGGUACUCCGGGGAUAACAGGCUGAUACCGCCCAAGAGUUCAUAUCGACGGCGGUGUUUGGCACCUCGAUGUCGGCUCAUCACAUCCUGGGGCUGAAGUAGGUCCCAAGGGUAUGGCUGUUCGCCAUUUAAAGUGGUACGCGAGCUGGGUUUAGAACGUCGUGAGACAGUUCGGUCCCUAUCUGCCGUGGGCGCUGGAGAACUGAGGGGGGCUGCUCCUAGUACGAGAGGACCGGAGUGGACGCAUCACUGGUGUUCGGGUUGUCAUGCCAAUGGCACUGCCCGGUAGCUAAAUGCGGAAGAGAUAAGUGCUGAAAGCAUCUAAGCACGAAACUUGCCCCGAGAUGAGUUCUCCCUGACUCCUUGAGAGUCCUGAAGGAACGUUGAAGACGACGACGUUGAUAGGCCGGGUGUGUAAGCGCAGCGAUGCGUUGAGCUAACCGGUACUAAUGAACCGUGAGGCUUAACCUU
rnacentral:rRNA from 1 species